rnacentral:lncRNA from 1 species
UCUGUUGUAGAAGCUCGUCCGGAAUCUAUCCACUAUGGAAGUUCGGACAGAGUUCGGUUCUUGUAGAAGGCUGAAAGGAGGCCGCUUAUUGUAGAAGCUCAGUCGAAGAUCGAUUAUCGUGGAAGCUCGGAUGGAGAAUUCUUACUGUAGAAGCUCGAAGUAGUGACCUGGCUGACGGAGUCUGCCCUGUUGUAGAAGCUCGUUUGGGAUCCGCCCAUUGUAGGAGCUCGGCUGGGAUCCGGCUAUGAAGAAGCUCGGCUGAAGUCUGCCUGUAAUAGAUGUUCGGAACGAAUUCAUUUACAGUAGAGGUUCGGAUGAAAUUCUCUUAUAGUAGAAAUUUGGAGUAGACCGUUUGCAGUAGAAGUUUGGAGUAGACUGCUUGCAGUAGAAGUUCGGAGUACUGACCCUGCUGGUGGAGGCCGUUCGUCGAGAAGCUCGUCUGUGAUCCAUCCACUGUAGA